rnacentral:rRNA from 1 species
UACGGAGGGUGCAAGCGUUGUUCGGAAUUACUGGGCGUAAAGCGCGUGUAGGCGGUCGGGUAAGUCAGAUGUGAAAGCCUUCCGCUUAACGGAAGAAGGGCAUUUGAAACUGCCCGGCUGGAGUACGGGAGAGGAGAGUGGAAUUCCCGGUGUAGAGGUGAAAUUCGUAGAUAUCGGGAGGAACACCAGUGGCGAAGGCGGCUCUCUGGCCCGAUACUGACGCUGAGACGCGAAAGCGUGGGGAG